AGAUUGAACGCUGGCGGCAUGCCUUACACAUGCAAGUCGAACGGCAGCACGGGGGCAACCCUGGUGGCGAGUGGCGAACGGGUGAGUAAUGCAUCGGAACGUGCCCAGUAGUGGGGGAUAACUAGUCGAAAGAUUAGCUAAUACCGCAUACGACCUAUGGGUGAAAGCGGGGGAUUCGCAAGAACCUCGCGCUAUCGGAGCGGCCGAUGUCUGAUUAGCUAGGUUGGCGGGUAAAGCCCACCAAGCUUCGAUCAGUAGCUGGUCUGAGAGGACGACCAGCCUCACUGGGACUGAGACACGGCCAGACUCCGUACGGAGGCAGCGAGGUGGGAUUUUGGACAAGUGGGCGACAAGCCGUUGACGUUACC
rnacentral:rRNA from 1 species